rnacentral:rRNA from 1 species
GAUGAACGCUGGCGGCGUGCCUAAUACAUGCAAGUCGAGCGAACGGACGAGAAGCUUGCUUUUCUGAUGUUAGCGGCGGACGGGUGAGUAGCACGUGGAUAACCUACCUAUAAGACUGGGAUAACCUCGGGAAACCGGAGCUAAUACCGGAUAAUAUUUUGAACCGCAUGGUUCAAAAGUGAAAGACGGUCUUGCUGUCACUUAUAGAUGGAUCCGCGCUGCAUUAGCUAGUUGGUAAGGUAACGGCUUACCAAGGCAACGAUGCAUAGCCGACCUGAGAGGGUGAUCGGCCACACUGGAACUGAGACACGGUCCAGACUCCUACGGGAGGCAGCAGUAGGGAAUCUUCCGCAAUGGGCGAAAGCCUGACGGAGCAACGCCGCGUGAGUGAUGAAGGUCUUCGGAUCGUAAAACUCUGUUAUUAGGGAAGAACAUAUGUGUAAGUAACUGUGCACAUCUUGACGGUACCUAAUCAGAAAGCCACGGCUAACUACGUG